CCUGGAGGCACUGGGGAUGGGAGGAUUUGAGGGCAGAGCCAUCAAUGGGGCAGUGCCUCCCCGCCGCAGUCCAUCAUCUCCAGGCUCUGCACUGCCCUCUCUUCGUUAUUGCACUGCUUGCAUUGCUGCAAGCUCCAGCUUAAGGCUCCCAUCAUUCCCUCCAUGGGUGCGCAGCACAUCUCGUCUCUGCUGUAGCUUCACUGCCCUGCACACCGUGUCCCCGGCGUGACGGUUGAACCGUGGUCCCAUUGAAGCUGGUGGGACUUACACCACGGAUGAGAUGUCCUUGGCUGGUGACCCCCGGCCACGCGGUGUCCCCUGCUGUCACAGGUGGGGAGAUCUGCUCCGCGUGGUCUUGCACAAAGCAUCACAAAUGGCUUCCACCACCCCUUCCCCAACACUGCGACCCUCCUUCCAGCAGCAGACCCAGC
ensembl:lncRNA